rnacentral:rRNA from 1 species
UACGAAGGGUGCAAGCGUUACUCGGAAUUACUGGGCGUAAAGCGCACGCAGGCGGUUCGCCAAGUUUGGAGUGACAGUUGUCGGCUCAACCGAUAAAGGACUUCAAAAACUGGUGAACUUGAGAGCGAGAGAGGAACAUGGAACUCCAGGUGUAGUAGUGAAAUGCGUAGAUAUCUGGAAGAACACCAAAGGCGAAGGCAAUGUUCUGGCUCGUUUCUGACGCUCAGGUGCGAAAGCCAGGGGAGCGAACGGG